GUGGGUGGUUUCCGGAUACUGUCUGGCUGCACAUGAUGUAUACGAUGAACUCUAAGUGGUUCCUCAUUAAGUAGGGUCUGCUCUGUGGUACUACGUACCGGCAGUGCGGACACGCCUCUGUAGGACCGUGCUUGUCCUUCCUGUGCCUUUCCAGCUGUGCCCGUGUGUCGAAGUGUCGAACGUUGUACAACCAUCAAUCCUGCACAAGUACGAUGAGUUUCGGUGGUGGGAGUAUGUCACUGUAUAAAUAAAAGGUAAUAUUAAAUAUAAAGUUGAAUAUUGCAUUAAUUCAAUAGUUUGUCCUGUGGUCUCGUCAGCUGUCGUCUGGUAAUGACUAAUAGAUAUUAUAUUUUCCAUGAUGUAUUUCCAGAAGAUUAUGGUGCACAAUCUUGACGUCCCCCUGUGUGUUUUUUUGAUUUUGUAGACCAAGUCACUUAAUUUGGAAACAAUGGUAUAUGGACCCCCCAGGACUUGGUGAAUUUGGGGAGAGCUCCCAAACAGAAGAUCAAUGGGAAGCUCGGGCUCACGACCUAACAUCAUUAAACUGGGACUAAAUCCAGUACUAUCAUGAACAGAAGUUCUGUAAGCCAUCAAGACCAAAGGUGUCCACUAAUUGGAUCGCUGUGUAACAUUGUCAGAACCUGACAUAUGUGAUUUUCAGGCAAAACCAGCUGCAAUGAUAUAUCUGACGUUUUGAUAUGGAACCAUUUCCUGUACAGAAUAUCAGUUUCUUUGACAAUUCUGUCCCAUUGUGACCAAGGGUACACUCUGUUCAAGGACGUCGGGAUAGUCCAUCAGCAUUACCAUGCUGGGAACCUGGCCUAUGUUGAAUAUCAAAGAUAUAUGUAGAUAAAAUUUGGAGCCAUCGGACAACU